AGUGAACGCUGGCGGUAGGCCUAACACAUGCAAGUCGAACGGCAGCACAGUAAGAGCUUGCUCUUACGGGUGGCGAGUGGCGGACGGGUGAGGAAUACAUCGGAAUCUACUUUUUCGUGGGGGAUAACGUAGGGAAACUUACGCUAAUACCGCAUACGACCUACGGGUGAAAGCAGGGGAUCUUCGGACCUUGCGCGAUUGAAUGAGCCGAUGUCGGAUUAGCUAGUUGGCGGGGCAAAGGCCCACCAAGGCGACGAUCCGUAGCUGGUCUGAGAGGAUGAUCAGCCACACUGGAACUGAGACACGGUCCAGACUCCUACGGGAGGCAGCGGUGGGGAAUAUUAGACAAUGGACGCAAGCCUGAUCCAGCCAUACCGCGUGGGUGAAGAAGGCCUUCGGGUUGUAAAGCCCUUUUGCUGGGAAAGAAAAGCAGCAGGUUAAUACCCCGCUGUUCUGACGGUACCCAAAGAAUAAGCACCGGCUAACUUCGUG
rnacentral:rRNA from 1 species